rnacentral:rRNA from 1 species
CAGCCGCCGCGGUAAUACGAAGGGGGCUAGCGUUGUUCGGAAUUACUGGGCGUAAAGGGCGCGUAGGCGGCCAUUCAAGUUAGAUGUGAAAGCCCUGGGCUCAACCUAGGAAUUGCAUUUGAUACUGUUUGGCAUGAGUUCGGGAGAGGUGAGUGGAAUUCCCAGUGUAGAGGUGAAAUUCGUAGAUAUUGGGAAGAACACCGGUGGCGAAGGCGGCUCACUGGACCGACACUGACGCUGAGGCGCGAAAGCGUGGGGAGCAAACAGGAUUAGAUACCCCCGUAGUCCCUGUCUCUUAUAC